rnacentral:rRNA from 1 species
UACGUAGGUGGCAAGCGUUGUCCGGAUUUAUUGGGUGUAAAGGGUGCGUAGACGGGAAAUUAAGUUAGUUGUGAAAUCCCUCGGCUUAACUGAGGAACUGCAACUAAAACUGAUUUUCUUGAGUGUCGGAGAGGAAAGUGGAAUUCCUAGUGUAGCGGUGAAAUGCGUAGAUAUUAGGAGGAACACCAGUGGCGAAGGCGACUUUCUGGACAAUAACUGACGUUGAGGCACGAAAGUGUGGGGAGCAAACA